rnacentral:lncRNA from 1 species
CAGCAGAGAGGAGGGUGGGAAGGUUCCUACAACCACUCCUGUGUCCUGCUCCAAACACCUGCAGAAACAAGAUUUUUGCUGUCUGGAGCUGAGUGAGGCCCUUCUGGAGCUACCCCAGGGUUUUUCAUGGCCUUUCCUCUUCCUCCUUGGGAUAAAGCAGGGAUCAGCUGCUGCUCCUCAAUCUCGCCUGGAAAACUUCAUCUUGCUUCCCCUUGUACCCUGACAUCCCCCAAGUGAAGAUUUAGAAAACAAUUAUUGUCCAUGACUAAUUCAAUCCUGUUGGUUUUUAAAUUCUGGAGCAAAUAGGUAAAGCCAAAGGGAGCAAAGCUUUUUUAUUUAUUUAUUUCUUGCUGUUGCCAAGUGCCUGUGAUAUUUUUCAUCCUUAAUCAUCCCUGCAUGAAAUCAGGAACAGAACGGGGCUGAUCUGCUAAAUGAGCCCAAGUGGUGCAGGGCUCCUGGCCACCAGAUGAAAGUGGUGUUAUGUGAUAGAGCUGAUCUAUUUUAGCAGAUUUUUGUGUGGAUUAGAGGCUGUAAAUCUCUUCUGGGCUGGGUUUUGUUCUGUUCAAUAUGCUUUGCAUCCAGG